rnacentral:rRNA from 1 species
UAAGGGAUAUUGCGCAAUGGGCGAAAGCCUGACGCAGCAACGCCGCGUGCCCGAGGAAGGCCUUCGGGUCGUAAAGGGCUUUUGUGGGAGACGAGCAAGGACGGUAUCCCAGGAAGAAGUGUCGGCUAACUACGUGCCAGCAGCCGCGGUAAAACGUAGGACGCGAGCGUUAUCCGGAGUUACUGGGCGUAAAGGGCGGGCAGGCGGGUCGACCAGUUGGGUGUGAAAUAUCCCGGCUCAACCGGGAGGGGCCACUCAAAACAGUCGGUCUGGAGGGCAGCAGAGGUGCGUGGAAUUCCGGGUGGAGUGGUGAAAUGCGUAGAGAUCCGGAGGAACACCAGAGGCGAAGGCGGCGCACUGGGCUGCUCCUGACGCUGAACCGCGAAAGCCAGGGGAGCGAACGGGAUUAGAAACCCCGGUAGUCCUGGCCGUAAACGAUGCCAACUGGGCGUGGGGGUCAAACGGCCUCCGCGUCGGAGCGAACGCGCUAAGUUGGCCGCCUGGGGAGUACGACCGCAAGGUUA